AAAAUGAAUGGGUGUGGAGUCGUACACCUAGAAACAGACUUGUGUUCCUCUAUACGAUUCUAACUAAAUGAGUAGAACAUACCUGGGUAUGUCAUGGCUACUUUAGAUCUAUGAGGCAGGAAGUUAGAAUUUAAGGAAUCUAAGAAAUGCAGGGACUUGAAAGAUUAUUGCAAAAUAAAGCCUUUAAAAAGUAUCGUUCUCCCAAAGUGUAGGCCAUAAAAUGAUUCUCUAGAGGGAACUAUGCCAAUACCAUAUCUGUUAACAUCUUAGACCCACAGGGUCAUAUUGGAACCUUUGCUAGAGUCUGAGGAUCCUGAUUAAGAGGAAGAGGAAGGGUUGAUCUGAAGAACAUAGUGCUGUGGUGGAGGUUGUGUAGAGUUCCAUGAGGUCACUAAGGGACCUGGGAACACAGGAUAUUGGGAGAGCUGGGAAAGGGGAAUAGGGAUGAGAUGCGGGAGCAUGCCAAAGACAAAAUUACUUUGUUGUCAAAUUUUGCCCACAAAAAGAAGAGGGAUUCCACCCCUCCUUCACCCAGUCUUGCCCUGUCUCCUUUAUUCAGCUGCACUGCUGGAUGCUUGCCUGGUUCCCAGCCUUUAAGGUUUUUAGUCUAUAAGUUCAACGUUGUUGGAAAAGUGCUCUGAUACCUGCAGAGGUGGGAGAAAGGUGGGGGCAGUCCUCUGCUAGGAGAUGGAAGGGACAAUCAAAGCUUAGUAGCUUGAGCUGGUCCUGGAAGAGCAAGUAGGAGCUCUUUAGCCAGACUAAGAGAAGGGCAUUCUUGGCAGAAGGAAUAUUCUAUAUAAAGAAGUGGAGUCAGGGAACAGUAGGGCUCUUUGAAGAACUACAGAUUGUGUUCUAAAUGAAUGACAUGUAAGGUUUGUAAGGGGCGAGUGAUAACCACUGAUGAAUGGCAGAUGGUGUUGACAACUAGGCGGGGCCAGAGUCUGUAGGAUCUUACAUGUCUUGCAAUCAGUUUUGACUUUGACCUUGGAACCCAGUUGAGGCUCCCUUCCGCCCCAGUUCCUCAUGGCAGGGAAAUACAUCAUGUUGUGCGUUGUAAGACUUCAAAACUUUGCUAGUGAGAGGCCUGCUUAAUAUUAUUUAAUCUAGUUCAAUUUAAUUGUUUUGAAAAAAAAAAAAAAGAAGACUUGGAGGUAUAACCUCUGGAAAAUUUUCUUCCACUCUUCUUUUUUUCUUCUCUACUCUUCCCUAUUCCUAUAUUAUUCCCUAGCAUCCCCUUUUUCUCAUCCUAGCUUUUCCUCUCCACCGUGCUGCGCUAUUUCAGUAUCUUUCUAUGCAGAACGUUACUUUUUGUUGUAUUAUGCAACUACAGUGUAAUCUUUUUGAAUACUUUAAUUAGUAAUUUAAACUCAACAUAGUCUUAGCAACAGUGCACGUUACUUAGCUGGCAUGACCAUAGUCUGAGCGGUGUGGCCAGUGUGAAGCAUGAGUGUGCAGUGAGCACCGCAUCACAGCAGCCACUUGCCGGCAGCAGCUGUAAGGUUGUAUCUAAGCAGUGUCUUGAUUUUAGCUAUGGUAAAAUGAGAAUUCAUGAAUGUUUAAAUUUCAGAGACCAUCUUUAAUUUGAUGACUGAAAUGUCAGCAGUUAUUUGAGAUUUUUAUUAAUAGCAUUACAGUUUCAAAUGAAUAGUCAGAGUUAAUGUCGUCAUUGGGCACUGCGAAAAGGAGACUGAAGAACUGACAGCCAUUCCUCAGAUGGCGUCGAGGUGCAGGGUUGACUCUGGAUGUUGUAAUCAGAAAGAGUGUUGGUUGCCUGCAGCAAUCAGCUGGUUGCCUGCAGAAGUGAGCCUCUUCUGGUCAGGGGGCAUACUUUUUU
rnacentral:lncRNA from 1 species